AAAACAUUGGUGUAAUUUAGGGCUAUUUUGAAAUUAGUUCAUUAAGGGACCCAGCAAAUCCAUCCUGCUUCUAGUUGCUGCUGCUGCUGCUAAAUCACUUCAGUCGUGUCCGACUCUGUGCGACCCCAUAGACGGCAGCCCACCAGACUACCCAGUCCCUGGGAUUCUCCAGGGAUUUUAUUUGUAAACUUUGAUUUCUUUCCACUGAGGGAGAUGGGAUAUUUUCAAACAUCUUCUCUUGGGUUGUGGCUGAUUUAUAGCAAUAGCUCAGCUGAUAAAGAAUCCGCCUGCAAUGUGGGAGACCUGGGUUCGAUCCCCGGGUCAGGAAGGAAAGGGCAACCCACUCCCGAACUCUUGCCUGGAGAAUUCCAUGGACAGAGGAGCAGGACAGGCUGCAGUCCAUGGAAUCGCAAACAAUUGGACACAACUGUGUGACUUUCAACUUUAUACAUAGUAGUUUAUGUAUAUCAAUCCCAAUCUCCCAGUUUAUCAC
ensembl:lncRNA